rnacentral:rRNA from 1 species
UACGUAGGGGGCAAGCGUUGUCCGGAAUUAUUGGGCGUAAAGAGCGCGUAGGCGGUCCGGUAAGUCGGUUGUGAAAGUCGGGGGCUCAACCCUCGGAUGCCGAUCGAUACUGUCGGGCUAGAGUCCGGAAGAGGCGAGUGGAAUUCCUGGUGUAGCGGUGAAAUGCGUAGAUAUCAGAAGGAACAUCAGUGGCGAAAGCGGCUUCCUGGACCAGAACUGACGAUCAGGCUCGAAAGCGUGGGGAGCAAACAGG